rnacentral:rRNA from 1 species
UUUGGUGAUUGAGUGGCGGACGGGUGAGUAAUACAUAAGCAAUCUGCCCAUCGGCCUGGGAUAACAGUUGGAAACGACUGCUAAUACCGGAUAGGUGAUGAAGAGGCAUCUCUCGAUCAUUAAAGUUGGGAUACAACACGGAUGGAUGAGCUUAUGGCGUAUUAGCUAGUAGGUGAGGUAACGGCUCACCUAGGCGAUGAUACGUAGCCGACCUGAGAGGGUGACCGGCCACAUUGGGACUGAGACACGGCCCAAACUCC